rnacentral:misc_RNA from 1 species
GUUUUUUAUAACUUUUAUGUAUUUCAACAUUCUAGACAUAUUGUUUGUGAGACAUAGACCUUUCAAAGGGAAAGCCGACCUCUUUUUUUUGAAGGCACAGCAGUCCCCACUCGGAACGAAUUCCAUUUCCCCCUCCAAGGUCUACAAAGUAUGUGCACAGUUGGAGAAAUGAUAAAGAUGACAAGCGUGCACAUACCCCAAGGGGCCAGCAGACAGCCUGCUCAAGUUUUUAUUCAAUAAUGAUCCUUCCGCAGGUUCACCUACGGAAA